rnacentral:rRNA from 1 species
AAAGGAAUAGACGGGGACCCGCACAAGCGGUGGAUGAUGUGGUUUAAUUCGAUGCAACGCGAAAAACCUUACCCACCUUUGACAUGUACGGAAGUUGCCAGAGAUGGCUUCGUGCUCGCAAGAGAACCGUAACACAGGUGCUGCAUGGCUGUCGUCAGCUCGUGUCGUGAGAUGUUGGGUUAAGUCCCGCAACGAGCGCAACCCUUGCCAUUAGUUGCUACGAAAGGGCACUCUAAUGGGACUGCCGGUGACAAACCGGAGGAAGGUGGGGAUGACGUCAAGUCCUCAUGGCCCUUAUAGGUGGGGCUACACACGUCAUACAAUGGCUGGUACAAAGGGUUGCCAACCCGCGAGGGGGAGCCAAUCCCGUAAAGCCAGUCGUAGUCCGGAUUGCAGUCUGCAACUCGACUGCAUGAAGUCGGAAUCGCUAGUAAUCGUGGAUCAGCAUGUCACGGUGAAUACGUUCCCGGGUCUUGUACACACCGCCCGU